GAUUCAUGAUAACUUAACGGAUCGCAUGGCCUUGCGCCGGCGACGGUUCAUUCAAAUUUCUGCCCUAUCAACUUUCGAUGGUAAGGUAUUGGCUUACCAUGGUUUCAACGGGUAACGGGGAAUUAGGGUUCGAUUCCGGAGAGGGAGCCUGAGAAACGGCUACCACAUCCAAGGAAGGCAGCAGGCGCGCAAAUUACCCAAUCCCGACACGGGGAGGUAGUGACAAUAAAUACUGAUACAGGGCUCUUUAGGGUCUUGUAAUCGGAAUGAGUACAAUUUAAACCUCUUAACGAGGAACAAUUGGAGGGCAAGUCUGGUGCCAGCAGCCGCGGUAAUUCCAGCUCCAAUAGCGUAUAUUAAAGUUGUUGCAGUUAAAAAGCUCGUAGUUGAAUCUUGGGCCUGGCUGGCCGGUCCGCCUCACCGCGUGUACUGGUCUGGCCGGGCCUUUCCUUCUGGAGAACCUCAUGCCCUUCAGUGGGUGUGUUGGGGAACCAGGACUUUUAC
rnacentral:rRNA from 1 species